rnacentral:rRNA from 1 species
AUCCAUAGCCGGCCUGAGAGGGUGAACGGCCACAUUGGGACUGAGACACGGCCCAGACUCCUACGGGAGGCAGCAGUGGGGAAUAUUGCACAAUGGGGGAAACCCUGAUGCAGCGACGCCGCGUGAAGGAAGAAGUAUCUCGGUAUGUAAACUUCUAUCAGCAGGGAAGAUAGUGACGGUACCUGACUAAGAAGCCCCGGCUAACUACGUGCCAGCAGCCGCGGUAAU